UACGGAGGAUGCAAGCGUUAUCCGGAUUUAUUGGGUUUAAAGGGUGCGCAGGCGGGAGAUUAAGUCGGCGGUGAAAUUUUGCAGCUCAACUGUAAAAGUGCCUUCGAAACUGGUUUCCUUGAGUGUGGAUGAAGUAGGCGGAAUUUGUGGUGUAGCGGUGAAAUGCAUAGAUAUCACGAGGAACUCCGAUUGCGCAGGCAGCUUACUAAACUACUACUGACGCUCAGGCACGAAGGCGUGGGGAUCAAACAGGAUUAGAUACCCCGGUAGU
rnacentral:rRNA from 1 species